CUGAGCGCGAACAACUGAGCAGCGCGCUGCAUUUUCCUGUCCAGGCGCAGUUCACGUGAUGGAGCGUUCACGCGCUUAGAAAACUUCAGCGCUGAACAAAUAGGCUUUCAGACACAUCUGCACAACUUUGUUGUUUCUGACGAGAGAAUUCGCUAGAAAGAGGUAUUCANCAGUGAGCCCCUCCCCCUCCUCGACGCCUCAACUCUACCUUCGCGCCGCGAGCAUUUUGAAUCACCUCAGGAGUCAAGAGCCAUCGUUUUUCAGCGAGGACAGCUGUUAUUCGGAGAAAAAAGAGAUGAACAAAUUGAUGAAGAAACCCUCCUGCUACUUGAUGAAAAAUCGCUAGAAGCUAUGAUACCAAAAAUAGGCCUGCGAUUGAAAUUUAAAAAGCACCUGAGAGAGCUGCUUGUGAG
ensembl:lncRNA